CACAUCGAUUGCUCCUCCCAUUUUCGCUUCUUCUUCUAACCCUAAGCCAAGAACUCCAAAUCAAACCCAAGAUCUCAUAAAUCGAAACCCAUAUCUCCUAAUCGAAUCUCAUGAAUCAAAACUAGUCCAGAAAUCGAAACCCAAUAUUUCAAUAACUAAAACCUAGAAAUUCUAAUUUUGUAAAGUUGAACGAUUCUGUAAGGUGUGCUUGAAUCCAAACUGAAGAUUUUUUCUCUAGUUAUGAACUGAUGGAUCCGGUUUUCUACGAAUUCUACAGAGAUCGAUAUGUAUAUGGUGUUGCUGAUGAUAUCGUUGAGGUGACUACUUCAAUUGGUGAAUGGUUUGUAUGGACAAAGACGCUAGAUUUUGUAGACAUAUCUCAUGUCCAUGUCAGAGUAAGUAUGAAUCUAACUGUGGGUCUAUUUUGCUGGAAUUUAGUUUUUGCUAGAUAUUUGUCUGGGCACGAAUUGAUGCAUUAGUCGCUUGCAACCAAACAUUGUGGUUCAUUUUGUUAGCAAAAUUGAAUUCCAACCAUAUCACUGGAUUAGGCGUUCCCUACAAUUGACGUCAUGUUGCAGGUCGGAUUGAAAGAAAAGAAAUCGAGCUUAAUUCCCAAAGUGAUUCUCCUACAGUACUAAGUUCUUUAUAGGAUAGUAGUACAAUGUACAUUGGAUUUCAAUGCCUAAUCCGGGAAAGAGGGUACGUUUGUCUAGUAUAAGUCAAGGUGGUGCUGGGGGAAAGGACCUAGUCUUAGUUUUCAGGAUUAAUCAAAGUAAAAUCUAUGAUUAGUAUAAUUAGAGUAAGUAGGUUAGUCAAAUGUGAUGAUGCACCAGUAGGACCCCUUAACAGUUGGCAUAGAAUGUCUUUGACGAUACGUUCUGUAAUAAAGAAAGAUGCACCAGUAGGACCCCUUAGUCAAAUGUGAUGAUACACAAGUGGGUUUGAAUUGAGAAUUAAGAUUUUGACUUUAGAAAUCUUGAUAAUGGCAUAUCUCAGCAUCUCCUCUUUAAUAAAGAAAGAUGGAAUAAUAACAUAGUUUUAUUAAUUUCUCUGCAAAUGGCAGCUAUUUUUGAAAAUCUGAAUCAUGUACUUCAUAUCAUAAAACACGGGCCUGUUUUAACUUUUAAGUACUUUGUGUUACUGAAUUUUCAGUUUCUUGUCCUGUGUAAUUCUUUACUAAAUUUCUGGUUUUGGGUUAACUGUAGUUUUAGCACUCACUGUGUGCAUUUUUCAUUCAUGGAGAUACUUUAAUCAUGCGGUUCUGUGGGAUUUAAUAUAGUAGGUAUGAAAAGCUGUAGCGGUGGGAUGACGCUCUCAAGGUGUGAACUGUCAAAACAUCUCAGGCAGCAAGUCAUAUAUCAGUUUGGAUGCAGGGGGUACUAAGGAAGAUUGGGCAUAGUGGAUGAGACACUUCAUUAUUGAGCUUCUCAAAGAAUUAUCAUUACCAUAUUUGCAAUCUUGUGCGAGGCUUGCACAAUUUUAGUCAUUCGUUGGUCGUGAGUUGUUUGCAUCUGUUUUGGUGAGUUGCUGAAUUCAGCUGACGAGGAAAUAUCUGCACUAUGCUGAUCUGGAAGUGUUUUUGAUGGGAAAGGAAGUAAGAUGGAAAAUCAAAUUGAGAUCUCUAGAUACACCAAUUACAUUCACAGAGGUUGUUCCUGAUAAGGAAUGCUUUUAAAAUAUGUUGCUGACCUAGCUUGUUCUCCGAAAGCUUGUAGUUGGUUUGUCUAUUUCAUUAUAUUGUAGGUUAUUCGUUGCUAAUUUAAUAUGUUUAGCUAGCUAGUGAAUUUGAACCAAUAUAUUAAUGGUGUUAUCUGUAGGAACUUCUGCAUGUUUCUUUCUCUUGUAGGAACCUCCUGCCAAGGCAUCCCAAGCAAGGAAAGCCCAUGCACCUGCAAGGAUGCAACCAAGAAGAAAGAAGAGUCCAACAAUGAUAACUGUGGUGGGAGUGAUUGCGAGGAUGAGGUUUGUCUUGUUUGAUUUUUCUUAUUGGUUGCUAGCUUAUUUAUUUAAAUCCGGUGAUGUAACAACCAGCAGCAAGCAAAGUUAAUGCUCCUGCACCAGCAGCAAAGAAGCAAGAAUCCAGUGAUAACAUUUCAGAUGAUUCUUAAUAUGAAGAGGUUUCUUGUGUCCCUAAUGUUAAAGCCUGCCGCUAAAAAGAAUAGUAGCUCUGAGGAAAGUUCCUUAGAUGAAGAACCUGCUGAAGAUGCUGCUGUGAAAAAGGUUUCUAUGGUACAAGUGUUGGAUAAACUAAUUUGUAAUCUAGAUUAGUUUUGUUAAGUGUGAGUUAGGUUAGUAAAUAAUCUAGAGUUAGCUGGAGUUUAGUCUUGUAAUGUGCAAACAGCAAAGACCAAAUGAGUACGUCGGUUGUGAUAAGAAGUACAAGAGAUAUCCAGAAACAACUAGGAUAGUCUAAUGUCAGUCAAAGUGUCAAACUAGUUUAUCCAAAAGAAAAAUCUAGAGAAGGUUAGAGAGUUCCAAGGUCGGUCUAACAUAGCCUGUAAAAAGGCAAUGAUGUACUCGGUUGCAAGGUGAGCAAAAACUUAAUUAAAAGAGAGUUUUGAGA